UAGUGGCGAACGGGUGAGUAACACGUGGGCAAUCUGCCCUUCACUCUGGGACANGCCCUGGAAACGGGGUCUAAUACCGGAANAACACUCUGUCCCGCAUGGGACGGGGUUGAAAGCUCCGGCGGUGAAGGAUGAGCCCGCGGCCUAUCAGCUUGUUGGUGGGGUGAUGGCCUACCAAGGCGACGACGGGUAGCCGGCCUGAGAGGGCGACCGGCCACACUGGGACUGAGACACGGCCCAGACUCCUACGGGAGGCAGCAGUGGGGAAUAUUGCACAAUGGGCGAAAGCCUGAUGCAGCGACGCCGCGUGAGGGAUGACGGCCUUCGGGUUGUAAACCUCUUUCAGCAGGGAAGAAGCGAAAGUGACGGUACCUGCAGAAGAAGCGCCGGCUAACUACGUGCCAGCAGCCGCGGUAAUACGUAGGGCGCAAGCGUUGUCCGGAAUUAUUGGGCGUAAAGAGCUCGUAGGCGGCUUGUUGCGUCGGUUGUGAAAGCCCGGGGCUUAACCCCGGGUCUGCAGUCGAUACGGGCAGGCUAGAGUGUGGUAGGGGAGAUCGGAAUUCCU
rnacentral:rRNA from 1 species